GGUCACUGAAGAGGCGGCCAGGCUCAAGGAGGUCCCCAGGAAAUCUCCUACAGUCCCGUCUGUGGGGAAACUGAGGCAGGGCAAAGGAGAUGACUCACAUUCACCAGGACCCUGGUGCCAGGCAUCUGAACCCUCAUUAUACUACGGAUGAGGAAGCCAGCUCAGAGCAGCCUCCUGGCCAAGUGCUUGGGCCAAGGCCAGAGACCAGAUCAGAGC